AGUUCUCAGGCGAGAGCCGCGGCUGACAGGGUCUGGGACAGAAGGAAAGCCCUCCAGCCUCCAGGCCCUGCCUUCUGCCUGCACAUUCUGCCCUGAUUUCCGGAACCUGGAAGCCUAGGCAGGCAGUGGGGAACUCUGACUCGCCUGUGCUCUGGAGCUUGAUCCGAAAGCUUCCACAGUGAGGACUGCUCCGUGGGGGUAAGAGAGCACCAGGCACUGAGGCCUGGGAGUUCCACAGACCAACACCCCUGCUCCUGGCGGCUCCCACCCGGGACUUAGACCCUCAGGUCCCUAAUAUCCCGGAGGUGCUCUCAAUCAGAAAGGUCCUGCUCCGCUUCGCAGUGGAAUGGAACGGAUUUAGAAGCCUGCAGUAGGGGAGUGGGGAGUGGAGAGAGGGAGCCCAGAGUUACAGACGGCGGCGAGAGGAAGGAGGGGCGUCUUUAUUUUUUUAAGGCCCCAAAGAGUCUGAUGUUUACAAGACCAGAAAUGCCACGGCCGCGUCCUGGCAGAGAAAAGGCUGAAAUGGAGGACCGGCGCCUUCCUUAUAAGCUCGUUGGGGCCUAAGCCAGUACCGACCUGGUAGAAAAAGCAACCACGAAGCUAGAGAGAGAGCCAGAGGAGGGAAGAGAGCGCCAGACGAAGGUGAAAGCGAACCACGCAGAGAAAUGCAGGAGUGAUUAUGCAGUGGGACCCUGCUGCAAACGGGACUUUGCACUCUAAAUAUAGACCCCAGCUUGGGACAAAAGUUGCAGUAGAAAAAUAGACAUAGGAGAACACUUAAAUAAGUGAUGCAUGUAGACACAGAAGGGGUAUUUAAAAGACAGAAAUAAUAGAAGUACAGAAGAACAGAAAAAAAAUCAGCAGAUGGAGAUUACCAUUCCCAAUGCCUGAACUUCCUCCUGCUAUUAAGAUUGCUAGAGAAUUGUGUCUUAAACAGUUCAUGAACCCAGAAGAAUGCAAUUUCAAUGUAUUUAGUACACACACAGUAUGUAUAUAAACACAACUCACAGAAUAUAUUUUCCAUACAUUGGGUAGGUAUGCACUUUGUGUAUAUAUAAUAAUGUAUUUUCCAUGCAGUUUUAAAAUGUAGAUAUAUUAAUAUCUGGAUGCAUUUUCUGUGCACUGGUUUUAUAUGCCUUAUGGAGUAUAUACUCACAUGUAGCUAAAUAGACUCAGGACUGCACAUUCCUUGUGUAGGUUGUGUGUGUGUGGUGGUUUUAUGCAUAAAUAAAGUUUUACAUGUGGUGAA
rnacentral:lncRNA from 1 species